rnacentral:rRNA from 1 species
AUUGAACGCUGGCGGCAGGCCUAACACAUGCCAGUCGAGCGGAUGAAGGGAGCUUGCUCCUGGAUUCAGCGGCGGACGGGUGAGUAAUGCCUAGGAAUCUGCCUGGUAGUGGGGGAUAACGUCCGGAAACGGGCGCUAAUACCGCAUACGUCCUGAGGGAGAAAGUGGGGGAUCUUCGGACCUCACGCUAUCAGAUGAGCCUAGGUCGGAUUAGCUAGUUGGUGGGGUAAAGGCCUACCAAGGCGACGAUCCGUAACUGGUCUGAGAGGAUGAUCAGUCACACUGGAACUGAGACACGGUCCAGACUCCUACGGGAGGGAGCAGUGGGGAAUAUUGGACAAUGGGCGAAAACCUGAUCCAGCCAUGCCGCGUGUGUGAAGAAGGUCUUCGGAUUGUAAAGCACUUUAAGUUGGGAGGAAGGGCAGUAAGUUAAUACCUUGCUGUUUUGACGUUACCAACAGAAUAAGCACCGGCUAACUUCGUG